rnacentral:rRNA from 1 species
GGGUUGUGAGGUUAAGCGACUAAGCGUACACGGUGGAUGCCCUGGCAGUCAGAGGCGAUGAAGGACGUGCUAAUCUGCGAUAAGCGUCGGUAAGGUGAUAUGAACCGUUAUAACCGGCGAUUUCCGAAUGGGGAAACCCAGUGUGAUUCGUCACACUAUCAUUAACUGAAUCCAUAGGUUAAUGAGGCGAACCGGGGGAACUGAAACAUCUAAGUACCCCGAGGAAAAGAAAUCAACCGAGAUUCCCCCAGUAGCGGCGAGCGAACGGGGAGCAGCCCAGAGCCUGAAUCAGUGUGUGUGUUAGUGGAAGCGUCUGGAAAGGCGCGCGAUACAGGGUGACAGCCCCGUACACAAAAAUGCACAUGCUGUGAGCUCGAUGAGUAGGGCGGGACACGUGGUAUCCUGUCUGAAUAUGGGGGGACCAUCCUCCAAGGCUAAAUACUCCUGACUGACCGAUAGUGAACCAGUACCGUGAGGGAAAGGCGAAAAGAACCCCGGCGAGGGGAGUGAAAAAGAACCUGAAACCGUGUACGUACAAGCAGUGGGAGCACGCUUAGGCGUGUGACUGCGUACCUUUUGUAUAAUGGGUCAGCGACUUAUAUUCUGUAGCAAGGUUAACCGAAUAGGGGAGCCGAAGGGAAACCGAGUCUUAACUGGGCGUUAAGUUGCAGGGUAUAGACCCGAAACCCGGUGAUCUAGCCAUGGGCAGGUUGAAGGUUGGGUAACACUAACUGGAGGACCGAACCGACUAAUGUUGAAAAAUUAGCGGAUGACUUGUGGCUGGGGGUGAAAGGCCAAUCAAACCGGGAGAUAGCUGGUUCUCCCCGAAAGCUAUUUAGGUAGCGCCUCGUGAAUUCAUCUCCGGGGGUAGAGCACUGUUUCGGCAAGGGGGUCAUCCCGACUUACCAACCCGAUGCAAACUGCGAAUACCGGAGAAUGUUAUCACGGGAGACACACGGCGGGUGCUAACGUCCGUCGUGAAGAGGGAAACAACCCAGACCGCCAGCUAAGGUCCCAAAGUCAUGGUUAAGUGGGAAACGAUGUGGGAAGGCCCAGACAGCCAGGAUGUUGGCUUAGAAGCAGCCAUCAUUUAAAGAAAGCGUAAUAGCUCACUGGUCGAGUCGGCCUGCGCGGAAGAUGUAACGGGGCUAAACCAUGCACCGAAGCUGCGGCAGCGACGCUGAUGCGUUGUUGGGUAGGGGAGCGUUCUGUAAGCCUGCGAAGGUGUGCUGUGAGGCAUGCUGGAGGUAUCAGAAGUGCGAAUGCUGACAUAAGUAACGAUAAAGCGGGUGAAAAGCCCGCUCGCCGGAAGACCAAGGGUUCCUGUCCAACGUUAAUCGGGGCAGGGUGAGUCGACCCCUAAGGCGAGGCCGAAAGGCGUAGUCGAUGGGAAACAGGUUAAUAUUCCUGUACUUGGUGUUACUGCGAAGGGGGGACGGAGAAGGCUAUGUUGGCCGGGCGACGGUUGUCCCGGUUUAAGCGUGUAGGCUGGUUUUCCAGGCAAAUCCGGAAAAUCAAGGCUGAGGCGUGAUGACGAGGCACUACGGUGCUGAAGCAACAAAUGCCCUGCUUCCAGGAAAAGCCUCUAAGCAUCAGGUAACAUCAAAUCGUACCCCAAACCGACACAGGUGGUCAGGUAGAGAAUACCAAGGCGCUUGAGAGAACUCGGGUGAAGGAACUAGGCAAAAUGGUGCCGUAACUUCGGGAGAAGGCACGCUGAUAUGUAGGUGAAGUCCCUCGCGGAUGGAGCUGAAAUCAGUCGAAGAUACCAGCUGGCUGCAACUGUUUAUUAAAAACACAGCACUGUGCAAACACGAAAGUGGACGUAUACGGUGUGACGCCUGCCCGGUGCCGGAAGGUUAAUUGAUGGGGUCAGCGCAAGCGAAGCUCUUGAUCGAAGCCCCGGUAAACGGCGGCCGUAACUAUAACGGUCCUAAGGUAGCGAAAUUCCUUGUCGGGUAAGUUCCGACCUGCACGAAUGGCGUAAUGAUGGCCAGGCUGUCUCCACCCGAGACUCAGUGAAAUUGAACUCGCUGUGAAGAUGCAGUGUACCCGCGGCAAGACGGAAAGACCCCGUGAACCUUUACUAUAGCUUGACACUGAACAUUGAGCCUUGAUGUGUAGGAUAGGUGGGAGGCUUUGAAGUGUGGACGCCAGUCUGCAUGGAGCCGACCUUGAAAUACCACCCUUUAAUGUUUGAUGUUCUAACGUUGACCCGUAAUCCGGGUUGCGGACAGUGUCUGGUGGGUAGUUUGACUGGGGCGGUCUCCUCCUAAAGAGUAACGGAGGAGCACGAAGGUUGGCUAAUCCUGGUCGGACAUCAGGAGGUUAGUGCAAUGGCAUAAGCCAGCUUGACUGCGAGCGUGACGGCGCGAGCAGGUGCGAAAGCAGGUCAUAGUGAUCCGGUGGUUCUGAAUGGAAGGGCCAUCGCUCAACGGAUAAAAGGUACUCCGGGGAUAACAGGCUGAUACCGCCCAAGAGUUCAUAUCGACGGCGGUGUUUGGCACCUCGAUGUCGGCUCAUCACAUCCUGGGGCUGAAGUAGGUCCCAAGGGUAUGGCUGUUCGCCAUUUAAAGUGGUACGCGAGCUGGGUUUAGAACGUCGUGAGACAGUUCGGUCCCUAUCUGCCGUGGGCGCUGGAGAACUGAGGGGGGCUGCUCCUAGUACGAGAGGACCGGAGUGGACGCAUCACUGGUGUUCGGGUUGUCAUGCCAAUGGCACUGCCCGGUAGCUAAAUGCGGAAGAGAUAAGUGCUGAAAGCAUCUAAGCACGAAACUUGCCCCGAGAUGAGUUCUCCCUGACUCCUUGAGAGUCCUGAAGGAACGUUGAAGACGACGACGUUGAUAGGCCGGCUGUGUAAGCGCAGCGAUGCGUUGAGCUAACCG